GUACACUCCUGCGGGAGGCAGCAGUGGGGAAUAUUGCACAAUGGGCGCAAGCCUGAUGCAGCCAUGCCGCGUGUAUGAAGAAGGCCUUCGGGUUGUAAAGUACUUUCAGCGGGGAGGAAGGCGAUAAGGUUAAUAACCUUGUCGAUUGACGUUACCCGCAGAAGAAGCACCGGCUAACUCCGUGCCAGCAGCCGCGGUAAUACGGAGGGUGCAAGCGUUAAUCGGAAUUACUGGGCGUAAAGCGCACGCAGGCGGUCUGUCAAGUCGGAUGUGAAAUCCCCGGGCUCAACCUGGGAACUGCAUUCGAAACUGGCAGGCUAGAGUCUUGUAGAGGGGGGUAGAAUUCCAGGUGUAGCGGUGAAAUGCGUAGAGAUCUGGAGGAAUACCGGUGGCGAAGGCGGCCCCCUGGACAAAGACUGACACUCAGGUGCGAAAGCGUGGGGAGCAAACAGGAUUAGAAACCCCAGUAGUCCCAUG
rnacentral:rRNA from 1 species